GGGACACGUGGUAUCCUGUCUGAAUAUGGGGGGACCAUCCUCCAAGGCUAAAUACUCCUGACUGACCGAUAGUGAACCAGUACCGUGAGGGAAAGGCGAAAAGAACCCCGGCGAGGGGAGUGAAAAAGAACCUGAAACCGUGUACGUACAAGCAGUGGGAGCCUCUUUAUGGGGUGACUGCGUACCUUUUGUAUAAUGGGUCAGCGACUUAUAUUCUGUAGCAAGGUUAACCGAAUAGGGGAGCCGAAGGGAAACCGAGUCUUAACUGGGCGUUAAGUUGCAGGGUAUAGACCCGAAACCCGGUGAUCUAGCCAUGGGCAGGUUGAAGGUUGGGUAACACUAACUGGAGGACCGAACCGACUAAUGUUGAAAAAUUAGCGGAUGACUUGUGGCUGGGGGUGAAAGGCCAAUCAAACCGGGAGAUAGCUGGUUCUCCCCGAAAGCUAUUUAGGUAGCGCCUCGUGAAUUCAUCUCCGGGGGUAGAGCACUGUUUCGGCAAGGGGGUCAUCCCGACUUACCAACCCGAUGCAAACUGCGAAUACCGGAGAAUGUUAUCACGGGAGACACACGGCGGGUGCUAACGUCCGUCGUGAAGAGGGAAACAACCCAGACCGCCAGCUAAGGUCCCAAAGUCAUGGUUAAGUGGGAAACGAUGUGGGAAGGCCCAGACAGCCAGGAUGUUGGCUUAGAAGCAGCCAUCAUUUAAAGAAAGCGUAAUAGCUCACUGGUCGAGUCGGCCUGCGCGGAAGAUGUAACGGGGCUAAACCAUGCACCGAAGCUGCGGCAGCGACACUAUGUGUUGUUGGGUAGGGGAGCGUUCUGUAAGCCUGUGAAGGUGUGCUGUGAGGCAUGCUGGAGGUAUCAGAAGUGCGAAUGCUGACAUAAGUAACGAUAAAGCGGGUGAAAAGCCCGCUCGCCGGAAGACCAAGGGUUCCUGUCCAACGUUAAUCGGGGCAGGGUGAGUCGACCCCUAAGGCGAGGCCGAAAGGCGUAGUCGAUGGGAAACAGGUUAAUAUUCCUGUACUUGGUGUUACUGCGAAGGGGGGACGGAGAAGGCUAUGUUGGCCGGGCGACGGUUGUCCCGGUUUAAGCGUGUAGGCUGGUUUUCCAGGCAAAUCCGGAAAAUCAAGGCUGAGGCGUGAUGACGAGGCACUACGGUGCUGAAGCAACAAAUGCCCUGCUUCCAGGAAAAGCCUCUAAGCAUCAGGUAACAUCAAAUCGUACCCCAAACCGACACAGGUGGUCAGGUAGAGAAUACCAAGGCGCUUGAGAGAACUCGGGUGAAGGAACUAGGCAAAAUGGUGCCGUAACUUCGGGAGAAGGCACGCUGAUAUGUAGGUGAAGCGACUUGCUCGUGGAGCUGAAAUCAGUCGAAGAUACCAGCUGGCUGCAACUGUUUAUUAAAAACACAGCACUGUGCAAACACGAAAGUGGACGUAUACGGUGUGACGCCUGCCCGGUGCCGGAAGGUUAAUUGAUGGGGUCAGCGCAAGCGAAGCUCUUGAUCGAAGCCCCGGUAAACGGCGGCCGUAACUAUAACGGUCCUAAGGUAGCGAAAUUCCUUGUCGGGUAAGUUCCGACCUGCACGAAUGGCGUAAUGAUGGCCAGGCUGUCUCCACCCGAGACUCAGUGAAAUUGAACUCGCUGUGAAGAUGCAGUGUACCCGCGGCAAGACGGAAAGACCCCGUGAACCUUUACUAUAGCUUGACACUGAACAUUGAGCCUUGAUGUGUAGGAUAGGUGGGAGGCUUUGAAGUGUGGACGCCAGUCUGCAUGGAGCCGACCUUGAAAUACCACCCUUUAAUGUUUGAUGUUCUAACGUGGACCCGUGAUCCGGGUUGCGGACAGUGUCUGGUGGGUAGUUUGACUGGGGCGGUCUCCUCCUAAAGAGUAACGGAGGAGCACGAAGGUUGGCUAAUCCUGGUCGGACAUCAGGAGGUUAGUGCAAUGGCAUAAGCCAGCUUGACUGCGAGCGUGACGGCGCGAGCAGGUGCGAAAGCAGGUCAUAGUGAUCCGGUGGUUCUGAAUGGAAGGGCCAUCGCUCAACGGAUAAAAGGUACUCCGGGGAUAACAGGCUGAUACCGCCCAAGAGUUCAUAUCGACGGCGGUGUUUGGCACCUCGAUGUCGGCUCAUCACAUCCUGGGGCUGAAGUAGGUCCCAAGGGUAUGGCUGUUCGCCAUUUAAAGUGGUACGCGAGCUGGGUUUAGAACGUCGUGAGACAGUUCGGUCCCUAUCUGCCGUGGGCGCUGGAGAACUGAGGGGGGCUGCUCCUAGUACGAGAGGACCGGAGUGGACGCAUCACUGGUGUUCGGGUUGUCAUGCCAAUGGCACUGCCCGGUAGCUAAAUGCGGAAGAGAUAAGUGCUGAAAGCAUCUAAGCACGAAACUUGCCCCGAGAUGAGUUCUCCCUGACUCCUUGAGAGUCCUGAAGGAACGUUGAAGACGACGACGUUGAUAGGCCGGGUGUGUAAGCGCAGCGAUGCGUUGAGCUAACCGGUACUAAUGAACCGUGAG
rnacentral:rRNA from 1 species